CAUAAAACAUUGCAAUGCAUAAAACAAUAUAAUGACAAAAACCGUCACGUCCAAUUAGAACCGCGUUUUAUAACACGGUGCGUUGUUGUUUCGCAAUCCACGUGACACGAUCGCGCUUCGACUGUCCCUCGCGAUUUCGCUAGUCGCCUACCGGAAGUCGCCGCCACCCGGACAUUACGAUCGACCAUGCGGGCCCCAGCGGGAACUAUGCAAACCGAUCGCGAGAAGAAUCCUAAUGCUGUGUCCAGUUUUUACCAACACCGCGGAUUUCCUCGAAAGAGAAAACUCACGUACACGGAAGAAAGGUUUCUCCAUGGGCCUGAGCCGUGUCUGUCUUCGGUGAACGAUUAGGACGACGGAAAAUAAUUUACAGACUCUUUCUCUCGGGAAAGUACCUAAUCGUAGGAUAAUAAAUCUUGUUGCAAAUAAUGGGAAGAAUGGACAAUGUGUCUCGGUAUAUUUUUUUAGGUGCUCGUCAGCUGUGCAAGUCAAAUGCUCCAUUGCGCAUGCGUCGAAUGUUGUUUCGGAUACUACCACGGAUAGAGGUUAUGGCUGCGCUGUACGCGUCGAACGAAAAGAGAACUCACUCUCGAAAGCGUAAUACUUAAACCGCACCCUCGGCCCGCCAAUUAUCACGAGACAGGUUCCUGAGACAAUACUUGACCCUCACCCAGUCUUCAGAACGAUUUCUCGAACUUGUUGCUAUUCCAACUGGUUUACCUGUUUCCAAUGUGCGGUUCUCCGCGAUACGAGAGCGAUUUUACUUUUAGUUCCAGCGCAGGUGUUUUCGAAGUUUUAUUUGAAGAAACUUCUAUUCUUCGGAAUGAAUUCCACCUACUCCAUGAAACUGGCCCACUGUGCGACGACGUGUCAGUGAAAGUAUUAUUUAUCCACGGUGGUUUAAUUGUGACACCACAGCCAUCCGGCCUUAUUAUUACACCGAGUGUGUUAUUCCUUUUUCGGUUCGUUACUUUCUAUUCUCCCUCUCUCUCUUUCUCUAUGUAUACAGAUAUUGUAUAUACCGUGGUUCUCGAGAUCAGGCUCAUGCCGCGCGCCUCGGCGAUUGAAUAGCGAUCGCGGUUGCAACUACUUCCUCUUCUUUUUUUGCGUACAGCAUUAAUUCCAAUAAGUUCUAGGUUAUUACUGCGGUUUUCACUUCGCCGUUUUCUUAGGAAUAUUUUACGGCAGAUCCGGGGAUAAGAAAAUUGCUUCGUUUUCUAUUCAUUAUGCUCGCCUCGCAUUUCGCUGUCGUAUGGCCGCGAUUACUAUUUGCGGUUGUUCGCAAACGAAUUUCGUUCAUCCCGGCACAGUUUGUUAGUUAAUUCAAUUAAAAUAAGUUAGAAUGAAUGUGAACAGAACGAGGCGUUUAAUUACAAUCUAACAAUCUAAUUUAGUUUGUCAAUACGACGUUGAAUGUUAAAAUAAUUACUAGAGAUCAAUAUUAAAAUUAUUGUUAUGAUUAAA